AUGGAGGCGCCGCUGCUGGUGGCCGCGCUGCUGCUCCUGUCCUCGACCCUCGUCGUCUCCGAGUUCUGCGUGUGCAGGUCGGAGCAGCCGCAGGCGGCGCUGCAGAAGACCAUCGACUACGCGUGCGGGGCGGGGGCGGACUGCAACUCGAUCCACGAGCAGGGGCCGUGCUACAACCCCAACAACGUCGUCUCGCACUGCUCCUGGGCGGCCAACAGCUACUUCCAGAAGAAGAGGGCCAUGGGCGCCACCUGCGACUUCGGCGGCACCGCCCUCGUCGUCUCCACCGACCCAAGUUCUUCAGGCUGCUCCUACCCCUCAAGUGCAAGUGCUGCUGGAACAUCAACGACCCCGACCGGGACUGGGACUGGGAUCGGAGGCACAACAGGGGGAACCCCAGGCACCUUCACGCCCGGUGCCGGCACUAGCACCGGUGGCAUGGGAGGAACCGGCACGGGGACGGACACCACCACCGGGUUCGGCGGCCUGGGUCCAACAGGCACGAGCAACAUGGACACGGCAGCGGCGGGGUUGCAUCCAAGGUCCGGAGCGCCUGCCUUCCUCGCCGUGCUCCUCUCCUUCCUGGCAUUCGCGUGA
rnacentral:rRNA from 1 species